rnacentral:misc_RNA from 1 species
CGAGAACGAUGCGAUCCUCGUCCUCGCCAUCUGUCUGGCCAAAAACUCGUGCGGUGGAACUCUCGCUCCUCCAUCGAAAUAAUCCUCGCCGUCCACGUCAUCAUCGUCAUCGUCGUCGACCUCUCUCCUUCGAUUCUCCCUGUAUUCGUCUUUCAAUAUCUUCGACCAAUCCGGUAUGUUAACCGGAAGUGACGACGGAGUCCCGACGGCUCUAUUUCCAGGGUCUGUGAGUCUGG